UUAGGUUUUGGGGCUAGGGGAAGGUUUAACGUUUUUGGCGUUAGGGUUAAAAUCACUGUCCAAAACUUUUGUAGGAACUCUUUUCCAACCUUUUGGAGUAAGUUAGACUAAAUAAUAAUGAAAAAUGAAAAAAAAAUAUUUGGGGUUUUCGGGCUUCCUGAAGGUAAUACCCGCGUAUUAGGUUUUGGGGCUAGGGGAAGGUUUAAGGUUUUUGGCGUUAGGGUUAAAAUCACUGUCCAAAACCUUUGUAGGAACUCUUUUCCAACCUUUUGGAGAUGGUUAGACCAAAAAAAAAAAAAAAAAAGAAAAAAAAAUAUUUGGGGUUUUCGGGCUUCCUGAAGGUAAUACCCGUAUUACGUUUUGGGGCUAAGGUAAGGUUUAACGUUUUUGGCGUUAGGGUCAAAAUCACUGUCCAAAACCUUUGUAGGAACUCUUUUCCAACCUUUUGGAGUUAGUUAGACCAAUAAAAAAUGAAAAAUGAAGAAAAAAUAUUUGGGGUUUUCGGGCUUCCUGAAGGUAUUAGGUUUUGGGGCUAGGGGAAGGUUUAAGGUUUUUGGUGUUAGGGUUAAAAUCACUGUCCAAAACCUUUGUAGGAACUCUUUCCCAAUAUUUUGGAGUUAGUUAGACCAAAUAAUAAUGAAAAAUGCAAAAAAAAUAUUUGGGGUUUUCGGGCUUCGUGAAGGUAAUACCCGCGUAUUUGGUUUUGGGGCUAGGGUAAGGUUUAAGGUUUUUGGCGUUAGGGUUAAAAUCACUGUCCAAAACCUUUGUAGGAACUCUUUUCCAACCUUUUGGAGUUAGUUAGACCAAAUAAUAAUGAAAAAUGAAAAAAAAAUAUUUGGGGUAUUCGGGCUUCCUGAAGGUAAUACCCGGGUAUUUGGUUUUGGGGCUAGGGUAAGGUUUAAGGUUUUUGGCGUUAGGGUUAAAAUCACUGUCCAAAACCUUUGUAGGAACUCUUUUCCAACCUUUUGGAGUUAGUUAGACCAAAAAAAAAAAAAAAAGAAAAAAAAUAUUUGGGGUUUUCGGGCUUCGUGAAGGUAAUACCCGCGUAUUUGGUUUUGGGGCUAGGGUAAGGUUUAAGGUUUUUGGCGUUAGGGUUAAAAUCACUGUCCAAAACCUUUGUAGGAACUCUUUUCCAACCUUUUGGAGUAAGUUAGACCAAAAAAAAAAAGAAAAGAAAAAAAAAUAUUUGGGGUUUUCGGGCUUCCUGAAGGUAAUACCCGGGUAUUAGGUUAUGGGGCUAGGGUAAGGUUUAAGGUUUUUGGCGUUAGGGUUAAAAUCACUGUCCAAAACCUUUGUAGGAACAUUUUCAACCUUUUGGAGUUAGUUAGACCAAAAAAUAAAAAAAUGAAAAAAAAAAUAUUUGGGGUUUUCGGGCUUCCUGAAGGUAAUACCCGGGUAUUAGGUUUUGGGGCUAGGGAAAGGUUUAAGGUUUUUGGCGUUAGGGUUAAAAUCACUGUCCAAAACCUUUGUAGGAACUCUUUUCCAACCUUUUGGAGUUAGUAAGACCAAAAAAUAACGAAAAAUGAAAAAAAAAUAUUUGGGGUUUCGGGCUUCCUGAAGGUAAUACCCGGGUAUUAGGUUUUGGGGCUAGGGUAAGGUUUAAGGUUUUUGGCGUUAGGGUUAAAAUCACUGUCCAAAACCUUUGUAGGAACUCUUUUCCAACCUUUUGGAGUUAGUUAGACCAAAAAAAAAAUGAAAAAUGAAAAAAAAAUAUUUGGGGUUUUCGGGCUUCCUGAAGGUAAUACCCGGUAUUAGGUUUUGGGGCUAGGGGAAGGUUUAAGGUUUUUGGCGUUAGGGUUAAAAUCACUGUCCAAAACCUUUGUAGGAACUCUUUUCCAACCUUUUGGAGUUAGUUAGACCAAAUAAUAAUGAAAAAUGAAAAAAAAAUAUGUGGGGUUUUCGGGCUUCCUGAAGGUAAUACCCGGGUAUUAGGUUUUGGGGCUAGGGUAAGGUUUAAGGUUUUUGGCGUUAGGGUUAAAAUCACUGUCCAAAACCUUUGUAGGAACUCUUUUCCAACCUUUUGGAGUUAGUUAGACCAAAAAAAAUGAAAAAUGAAAAAAAAAUAUUUGGGGUGUUCGGGCUUCCUGAAGGUAAUACCCGGGUAUUUGGUUUUGGGGCUAUGGUAAGGUUUAAGGUUUUUGGCGUUAGGGUUAAAAUCACUGUCCAAAACCUUUGUAGGAACUCUUUUCCAACCUUUUGGAGUUAGUUAGACCAAAAAAAAAGAAAAAAGAAAAAAAUAUUUGGGGUUUUCGGGCUUCCUGAAGGUAAUACCCGGGUAUUAGGUUAUGGGGCUAGGGUAAGGUUUAAGGUUUUUGGCGUUAGGGUUAAAAUCACUGUCCAAAACCUUUGUAGGAACUCUUUUCCAACCUUUUGGAGUAAGUUUCACCAAAAAAAAAAAAAAAAAAAAAAAAUAUUUGGGGUUUUCGGGCUUCCUGAAGGUAAUACCCGGUAUUAGGUUUUGGGGCUAGGGUAAGGUUUAAGGUUUUUGGCGUUAGGGUUAAAAUCACUGUCCAAAACCUUUGUAGGAACUCUUUUCCAACCUUUUGGAGUAAGUUAGACCAAAAAAAAAAAAAGAAAAGAAAAAAAAAAUAUUUGGGGUUUUCGGGCUUCCUGAAGGUAAUACCCGGGUAUUAGGUUAUGGGGCUAGGGUAAGGUUUAAGGUUUUUGGCGUUAGGGUUAAAAUCACUGUCCAAAACCUUUUAAGGAACAUGUUUCAGACCUUUUGGAGUAAGUUAGACCAAAAAAUAAAAAAGAAAAGAAAAAAAAAUAUUUGGGGUGUUCGGGCUUCCUGAAGGUAAUACCCGGGUAUUAGGUUUUGGGGCUAGGGAAAGGUUUAAGGUUUUUGGCGUUAGGGUUAAAAUCACUGUCCAAAACCUUUGUAGGAACUCUUUUCCAACCUUUUGGAGUUAGUUAGACCAAAUAAUAAUGAAAAAUGAAAAAAAAAAUUUUUGGGGUAUUUGGGCUUCCUGAAGGUAAUACCCGGGUAUUUGGUUUUCGGGCUAUGGUAAGGUUUAAGGUUUUUGGCGUUAGGGUUAAAAUCACUGUCCAAAACCUUUGUAGGAACUCUUUUCCAACCUUUUGGAGUUAGUUAAACCAAAAAAAAAAAAGAAAAAAGAAAAAAAAUAUUUGGGGUUUUUGGGAUUCCUGAAGGUAAUACCCACGUAUUAGGUUUUGGGGCUAGGGGAAGGUUUAAGGUUUUUGGCGUUAGGGUUAAAAUCACUGUCCAAAACCUUUGUAGGAACUCUUUUCCAACAUUUUGGAGUUAGUUAGACCAAAUAAUAAUGAAAAAUGAAAAAAAAAUAUUUGGGGUUUUCGGGCUUCCUGAAGGUAAUACCCGCGUAUUAGGUUUUGGGGCUAGGGUAAGGUUUAAGGUUUUUGGCGUUAGGGUUAAAAUCACUGUCCAAAACCUUUGUAGGAACUCUUUUCCAACCUUUUGGAGUUAGUUAGACCAAAUAAAAAUGAAAAAUGAAAAAAAAAUAUUUGGGGUAUUCGGGCUUCCUGAAGGUAAUACCCGGGUAUUAGGUUUUGGGGCUAGGGUAAGGUUUAAGGUUUUUGGCGUUAGGGUUAAAAUCACUGUCCAAAACCUUUGUAGGAACUCUUUUCCAACCUUUUGGAGUUAGUUAGACCAAAAAAAAAAAAAAAAAAAAAAAAAUAUUUGGGGUUUUCGGGCUUCCUGAAGGUAAUACCCGGGUAUUAGGUUAUGGGGCUAGGGUAAGGUUUAAGGUUUUUGGCGUUAGGGUUAAAAUCACUGUCCAAAACCUUUGUAGGAACUCUUUUCCAACCUUUUGGAGUUAGUUAGACCAAAAAAAAAUGAAAAAUGAAAAAAAAAUAUUUGGGGUUUUCGGGCUUCCUGAAGGUAAUACCCGGGUAUUAGGUUUUGGGGCUAGGGAAGGUUUAAGGUUUUUGGCGUUAGGGUUAAAAUCACUGUCCAAAACCUUUGUAGGAACUCUUUCCAACCUUUUGGAGUUAGUUAGACCAAAAAAUAAAAAAGAAAAGAAAAAAAAAUAUUUGGGGUUUUCGGGCUUCCUGAAGGUAAUACCCGGGUAUUAGGUUUUGGGGCUAGGGAAAGGUUUAAGGUUUUUGGCGUUAGGGUUAAAAUCACUGUCCAAAACCUUUGUAGGAACUCUUUUCCAACCUUUUGGAGUUAGUUAGACCAAAAAAUAACGAAAAAUGAAAAAAAAAAUAUUUGGGGUGUUCGGGCUUCCUGAAGGUAAUACCCGGGUAUUAGGUUUUGGGGCUAGGGUAAGGUUUAAGGUUUUUGGCGUUAGGGUUAAAAUCACUGUCCAAAACCUUUGUAGGAACUCUUUUCCAACCUUUUGGAGUUAGUUAGACCAAAUAAUAAUGAAAAAUGAAAAAAAAAUAUUUCCUGAAGGUAAUACCCGGGUAUUAGGUUUUGGGGCUAGGGUAAGGUUUAAGGUUUUUGGCGUUAGGGUUAAAAUCACUGUCCAAAACCUUUGUAGGAACUCUUUUCCAACCUUUUGGAGUUAGUUAGACCAAAAAAAAAAGAAAAAAAAAAAAAAAUAUUUGGGGUUUUUGGGAUUCCUGAAGGUAAUACCCACGUAUUAGGUUUUGGGGCUAGGGGAAGGUUUAAGGUUUUUGGCGUUAGGGUUAAAAUCACUGUCCAAAACCUUUGUAGGAACUCUUUUCCAACCUUUUGGAGUUAGUUAGACCAAAAAAAUGAAAAAUGAAAAAAAAAUAUUUGGGGUUUUCGGGCUUCCUGAAGGUAAUACCCGCGUAUUAGGUUUUGGGGCUACGGUAGGUUUAAUGUUUUUGGCGUUGGGGUUAAAAUCACUGUCCAAAACCUUUGUAGAAACUCUUUUCCAACCUUUUGGAGUAAGUUAGACCAAAUAAAAAUGAAAAAUGAAAAAAAAAUAUUUGGGGUUUUCGGGCUUCCUGAAGGUAAUACCCGGGUAUUAGGUUUUGGGGCUAGGGUAAGGUUUAAGGUUUUUGGCGUUAGGGUUAAAAUCACUGUCCAAAACCUUUGUAGGAACUCUUUUCCAACCUUUUGGAGUUAGUUAGACCAAAAAAAAAAAGAAAAAAGAAAAAAAAAUAUUUGGGGUUUUCGGGCUUCCUGAAGGUAAUACCCGCGUAUUUGGUUUUGGGGCUAGGGUAAGGUUUAAGGUUUUUGGCGUUAGGGUUAAAAUCACUGUCCAAAACCUUUGUAGGAACUCUUUUCCAACCUUUUGGAGUAAGUUAGACCAAAAAAAAAAAGAAAAGAAAAAAAAUAUUUGGGGUUUUCGGGCUUCCUGAAGGUAAUACCCGGGUAUUAGGUUAUGGGGCUAGGGUAAGGUUUAAGGUUUUUGGCGUUAGGGUUAAAAUCACUGUCCAAAACCUUUUAAGGAACAUGUUUCAGACCUUUUGGAGUUAGUUAGACCAAAAAAUAAAAAAGAAAAGAAAAAAAAAUAUUUGGGGUUUUCGGGCUUCCUGAAGGUAAUAAAAUUAGGUAUUAGGUUUUGGGGCUAGGGAAAGGUUUAAGGUUUUUGGCGUUAGGGUUAAAAUCACUGUCCAAAACCUUUUUAGGAACAUGUUUCAGACCUUUUGGAGUUAGUAAGACCAAAAAAUAACGAAAAAUGAAAAAAAAAUUUUUGGGCUUUUCGGGCUUCCUGAAGGUAUUACCCGGGUAUUAGGUUUUUGGGGCUAGGGGAAGGUUUAAGGUUUUUGGCGUUGGGGUUAAAAUCACUGUCCAAAACCUUUGUAGGAACUCUUUUCCAACAUUUUGGAGUUAAUUAGACCAAAAAAAAAUGAAAAAUGAAAAAAAAAUAUUUGGGGUUUUCGGGCUUCCUGAAGGUAAUACCCGCGUAUUAGGUUUUGGGGCUAGGGGAAGGUUUAAGGUUUUUGGCGUUAGGGUUAAAAUCACUGUCCAAAACCUUUGUAGGAACUCUUUUCCAACCUUUUGGAGUUAGUUAGACCAAAUAAUAAUGAAAAAUGAAAAAAAAAUAUUUGGGGUAUUCGGGCUUCCUGAAGGUAAUACCCGGGUAUUUGGUUUUCGGGCUAUGGUAAGGUUUAAGGUUUUUGGCGUUAGGGUCAAAAUCACUGUCCAAAACCUUUGUAGGAACUCUUUUCCAACCUUUUGGAGUUAGUUAGACCAAAAAAAAAAGAAAAAAGAAAAAAAAUAUUUGGGGUUUUCGGGCUUCCUGAAGGUAAUAAAAUUAGGUAUUAGGUUAUAGGGCUAGGGUAAGGUUUAAGGUUUUUGGCGUUAGGGUUAAAAUCACUGUCCAAAACUUUUGUAGGAACUCUUUUCCAACAUUUUGGAGGUAGUUAGACUAAAUAAUAAUGAAAAAUGAAAAAAAAAUAUUUGGGGUUUUCGGGCUUCCUGAAGGUAAUACCCGCGUAUUAGGUUUUGGGGCUACGGUAGGUUUAAGGUUUUUGGCGUUGGGCUUAAAAUCACUGUCCAAAACCUUUGUAGGAACUCUUUUCCAACCUUUUGGAGAUAGUUUCACCAAAAAAAACAAAAAAGAAAUGAAAAAAAUAUAUUUGGGGUUUUCGGGCUUCUUGAAGGUAUUAGGUUUUGGGGCUACGGGAAGGUUUAAGGUUUUUGGCGUAAGGGUUAAAAUCACUGUCCAAAACCUUUGUUGGAACUCUUUUCCAACAUUUUGGAGUUAGUUACACCAAAUAAUAAUGAAAAAUGAAAAAAUAAUAUUUGGGGUUUUCGGGAUUCCUGAAGGUAUUAGUUUAUGGGGCUAGGGUAGGUUUAAGGUUUUUGGCGUUGGGGUUAAAAUCACUGUCCAAAACCUUUGUAGGAACUCUUUUCCAACCUUUUGGAGUAAGUUUCACUGAAAAAAAACAAUGAAAAAUGAAAAAAACAUAUUUGGGGUUUUCGGGCUUCCUGAAGGUAUUACCCGGGUAUUAGGUUUUGGGGCUAGGGGAAGGUUUAAGGUUUUUGGCGUUGGGGUUAAAAUCACUGUCCAAAACCUUUGUAGGAACUCUUUUCCAACAUUUUGGAGUUAAUUAGACCAAAUAAUCAUGAAAAAUGCAAAAAAAAUAUUUGGGGUUUUCGGGCUUCGUGAAGGUAAUACCCGCGUAUUAGGUUUUGGGGCUAGGGUAAGGUUUAAGGUUUUUGGCGUUGGGGUUAAAAUCACUGUCCAAAACCUUUGUAGGAACUCUUUUCCAACCUUUUGGAGUUAGUUAGACCAAAAAAAAAAAGAAAAAAAAAAAAAUAUUUGGGGUUUUCGGGCUUCCUGAAGGUAAUACCCGGGUAUUAGGUUAUGGGGCUAGGGUAAGGUUUAAGGUUUUUGGCGUUAGGGUUAAAAUCACUGUCCAAAACCUUUUAAGGAACAUGUUUCAGACCUUUUGGAGUAAGUUAGACCAAAAAAUAAAAAAGAAAAGAAAAAAAAAUAUUUGGGGUUUUCGGGCUUCCUGAAGGUAAUACCCGGGUAUUAGGUUUUGGGGCUAGGGAAAGGUUUAAGGUUUUUGGCGUUAGGGUUAAAAUCACUGUCCAAAACCUUUUUAGGAACAUGUUUCAGACCUUUUGGAGUUAGUAAGACCAAAAAAUAACGAAAAAUGAAAAAAAAAUUUUUGGGCUUUUCGGGCUUCCUGAAGGUAUUACCCGGGUAUUAGGUUUUGGGGCUAGGGGAAGGUUUAAGGUUUUUGGCGUUGGGGUUAAAAUCACUGUCCAAAACCUUUGUAGGAACUCUUUUCCAACAUUUUGGAGUUAAUUAGACCAAAAAAAAAAUGAAAAAUGAAAAAAAAAUAUUUGGGGUUUUCGGGCUUCCUGAAGGUAAUACCCGCGUAUUAGGUUUUGAGGCUAGGGGAAGGUUUAAGGUUUUUGGCGUUAGGGUUAAAAUCACUGUCCAAAACCUUUGUAGGAACUCUUUUCCAACCUUUUGGAGUUAGUUAGACCAAAUAAUAAUGAAAAAUGAAAAAAAAAUAUUUGGGGUAUUCGGGCUUCCUGAAGGUAAUACGGUAUUUGGUAUUUGGUUUUCGGGCUAUGGUAAGGUUUAAGGUUUUUGGCGUUAGGGUCAAAAUCACUGUCCAAAACCUUUGUAGGAACUCUUUUCCAACCUUUUGGAGUAAGUUAGACCAAAAAAAAAAGAAAAGAAAAAAAAUAUUUGGGGUUUUCGGGCUUCCUGAAGGUAAUACCCGGGUAUUAGGUUAUGGGGCUAGGGUAAGGUUUAAGGUUUUUGGCGUUAGGGUUAAAAUCACUGUCCAAAACCUUUUAAGGAACAUGUUUCAGACCUUUUGGAGUUAGUUAGACCAAAAAAGAAAAAAGAAAAGAAAAAAAAAUAUUUGGGGUUUUCGGGCUUCCUGAAGGUAAUAAAAUUAGGUAUUAGGUUUUGGGGCUAGGGAAAGGUUUAAGGUUUUUGGCGUUAGGGUUAAAAUCACUGUCCAAAACCUUUUUAGGAACAUGUUUCAGACCUUUUGGAGUUAGUAAGACCAAAAAAUAACGAAAAAUGAAAAAAAAAUAUUUGGGGUUUUCGGGCUUCCUGAAGGUAUUACCCGGGUAUUAGGUUUUUGGGGCUAGGGGAAGGUUUAAGGUUUUUGGCGUUGGGGUUAAAAUCACUGUCCAAAACCUUUGUAGGAACUCUUUUCCAACAUUUUGGAGUUAAUUAGACCAAAAAAAAUGAAAAAUGAAAAAAAAAUAUUUGGGGUUUUCGGGCUUCCUGAAGGUAAUACCCGCGUAUUAGGUUUUGGGGCUAGGGGAAGGUUUAAGGUUUUUGGCGUUAGGGUUAAAAUCACUGUCCAAAACCUUUGUAGGAACUCUUUUCCAACCUUUUGGAGUUAGUUAGACCAAAUAAUAAUGAAAAAUGAAAAAAAAAUAUUUGGGGUAUUCGGGCUUCCUGAAGGUAAUACCCGGGUAUUUGGUUUUCGGGCUAUGGUAAGGUUUAAGGUUUUUGGCGUUAGGGUCAAAAUCACUGUCCAAAACCUUUGUAGGAACUCUUUUCCAACCUUUUGGAGUUAGUUAGACCAAAAAAAAAAAGAAAAGAAAAAAAAAUAUUUGGGGUUUUCGGGCUUCCUGAAGGUAAUAAAAUUAGGUAUUAGGUUAUAGGGCUAGGGUAAGGUUUAAGGUUUUUGGCGUUAGGGUUAAAAUCACUGUCCAAAACUUUUGUAGGAACUCUUUUCCAACAUUUUGGAGGUAGUUAGACUAAAUAAUAAUGAAAAAUGAAAAAAAAAUAUUUGGGGUUUUCGGGCUUCCUGAAGGUAAUACCCGCGUAUUAGGUUUUGGGGCUACGGUAGGUUUAAGGUUUUUGGCGUUGGGCUUAAAAUCACUGUCCAAAACCUUUGUAGGAACUCUUUUCCAACCUUUUGGAGAUAGUUACACCAAAAAAAACAAAAAAAAAAUGAAAAAAAUAUAUUUGGGGUUUUCGGGCUUCUUGAAGGUAUUAGGUUUUGGGGCUACGGGAAGGUUUAAGGUUUUUGGCGUAAGGGUUAAAAUCACUGUCCAAAACCUUUGUAGGAACUCUUUUCCAACAUUUUGGAGUUAGUUACACCAAAUAAUAAUGAAAAAUGAAAAAAAAAUAUUUGGGGUUUUCGGGAUUCCUGAAGGUAUUAGUUUAUGGGGCUAGGGUAGGUUUAAGGUUUUUGGCGUUGGGGUUAAAAUCACUGUCCAAAACCUUUGUAGGAACUCUUUUCCAACCUUUUGGAGUAAGUUUCACCGAAAAAAAACAAUGAAAAAUGAAAAAAAAAUAUUUGGGGUUUUCGGGCUUCCUGAAGGUAUUACCCGGGUAUUAGGUUUUGGGGCUAGGGGAAGGUUUAAGGUUUUUGGCGUUGGGGUUAAAAUCACUGUCCAAAACCUUUGUAGGAACUCUUUUCCAACAUUUUGGAGUUAAUUAGACCAAAUAAUAAUGAAAAAUGAAAAAAAAAAAAUUGGGGUUUUCGGGCUUCCUGAAGGUAAUACCCGCGUAUUAGGUUUUGGGGCUAGGGGAAGGUUUAAGGUUUUUGGCGUUAGGGUUAAAAUCACUGUCCAAAACCUUUGUAGGAACUCUUUUCCAACCUUUUGGAGAUGGUUAGACCAAAAAAAAAAAGAAAAAAGAAAAAAAAAUAUUUGGGGUUUUCGGGCUUCCUGAAGGUAAUACCCGUAUUACGUUUUGGGGCUAAGGUAAGGUUUAACGUUUUUGGCGUUAGGGUCAAAAUCACUGUCCAAAACCUUUGUAGGAACUCUUUUCCAACCUUUUGGAGUUAGUUAGACCAAAAAAAAAAAGAAAAGAAAAAAAAAUAUUUGGGGUUUUCGGGCUUCCUGAAGGUAAUACCAGGGUAUUAGGUUAUGGGGCUAGGGUAAGGUUUAAGGUUUUUGGCGUUAGGGUUAAAAUCACUGUCCAAAACCUUUUAAGGAACAUGUUUCAGACCUUUUGGAGUAAGUUAGACCAAAAAAAAAAAGAAAAGAAAAAAAAAUAUUUGGGGUUUUCGGGCUUCCUGAAGGUAAUACCCGGGUAUUAGGUUUUGGGGCUAGGGAAAGGUUUAAGGUUUUUGGCGUUAGGGUUAAAAUCACUGUCCAAAACCUUUUUAGGAACAUGUUUCAGACCUUUUGGAGUUAGUAAGACCAAAAAAUAACGAAAAAUGAAAAAAAAAAUAUUUGGGGUGUUCGGGCUUCCUGAAGGUAAUACCCGGGUAUUAGGUUUUGGGGCUAGGGAAAGGUUUAAGGUUUUUGGCGUUAGGGAUAAAAUCACUGUCCAAAACCUUUGUAGGAACUCUUUUCCAAACUUUUGGAGUUAGUUAGACCAAAUAAUAAUGAAAAAUGAAAAAAAAAAUAUUUGGGGUAUUUGGGCUUCCUGAAAGUAAUACCCGGGUAUUUGGUUUUCGGGCUAUGGUAAGGUUUAAGGUUUUUGGCGUUAGGGUCAAAAUCACUGUCCAAAACCUUUGUAGGAACUCUUUUCCAACCUUUUGGAGUUAGUUAGACCAAAAAAAAAAGAAAAAAGAAAAAAAAUAUUUGGGGUUUUUGGGAUUCCUGAAGGUAAUACCCACGUAUUAGGUUUUGGGGCUAGGGGAAGGUUUAAGGUUUUUGGCGUUAGGGUUAAAAUCACUGUCCAAAACUUUUGUAGGAACUCUUUUCCAACCUUUUGGAGUAAGUUAGACAAAAUAAUAAUGAAAAAUGAAAAAAAAAUAUUUGGGGUUUUCGGGCUUCCUGAAGGUAAUACCCGCGUAUUAGGUUUUGGGGCUACGGUAGGUUUAAGGUUUUGGGCGUUGGGGUCAAAAUCACUGUCCAAAACCUUUGUAGGAACUCUUUUCCAACCUUUUGGAGUUAGUUAGACCAAAUAAUGAUGAAAAAUGAAAAAAAAAUAUUUGGGGUAUUCGGGCUUCCUGAAGGUAAUACCCGGGUAUUUGGUUUUCGGGCUAUGGUAAGGUUUAAGGUUUUUGGCGUUAGGGUCAAAAUCACUGUCCAAAACCUUUGUAGGAACUCUUUUCCAACCUUUUGGAGUUAGUUAGACCAAAAAAAAAGAAAAAAGAAAAAAAUAUUUGGGGUUUUCGGGCUUCCUGAAGGUAAUACCUGGGUAUUAGGUUAUGGGGCUAGGGAAAGGUUUAAGGUUUUUGGCGUUGGGGUUAAAAUCACUGUCCAUAACCUUUGUAGGAACUCUUUUCCAACCUUUUGGAGUAAGUUAGACCAAAAAAAAAAAGAAAAGAAUAAAGAAUAUUUGGGAUUUUCGGGCUUCCUGAAGGUAAUACCCGGGUAUUAGGUUAUGGGGCUAGGGUAAGGUUUAAGGUUUUUGGCGUUAGGGUUAAAAUCACUGUCCAAAACCUUUUAAGGAACAUGUUUCCAACCUUUUGGAGUAAGUUAGACCAAAAAAAAAAAAGAAAAGAAAAAAAAAUAUUUGGGGUUUUCGGGCUUCCUGAAGGUAAUACCCGGGUAUUAGGUUUUGGGGCUAGGGAAAGGUUU